CAGAGGGCGACUAGUGCUAAAGGAAAUUAACAAGUCUAAAAGAACUGAGCAUGAUGAGAUUUGGAAGAAGGUUCCCUGAGGAGGUGGAAGGGAGGGGCCAGCCCUUGAGGAUCUUGGGAAGAGUUUUCCAGGCCCCGGAAGAGCAGGAUCAAGGACAGGCCAGUCAAGGAACUGAGAGAGUGAGCCUGGUGUGACUCAGCAGCUCCCCAGAGGGAGAGAAUGAUUCAGGAUGCCCUUGGAGAUCCAGGUCUCUCAGCAGGGAGGACUUGCUGAGGACUCCCACGGGUCACUGGCUAUUCUCUGCUCCUGAACGCUAAUCUCCAUUUACCUUCAAAUGUGACAACUUCUGUGGCAGGCUGCACCUCAUUCCUAUACUCUCUGGCAGGAGGAUCAUCGCAAGUUCAAAGCCAGCAUGGACUACACAGGUCACCUAGACCAGACACAGUUCCCUGUGGCUGUGGGCAGGCUCCCUCUACUCACUCCCGUGUUCCUGGGCACUAUCUGAACAUUCUGCAGAAUACAGUUGAGCUAAAAGUUCUAGCCUUGAGACCACUCUGUUGAGGACGUGGACUGGAGUCUGGGAGGGUGUGAAGAACCCAGUAAGAAGAACAACCUUUGGCUUCCCUUGACUUCCUGCUCAGAUCAGACUGUUGAUUGCUGCCCAGAGAGCAAGCCCCAGACCACAGAAGCUCUCUCAGUGAAAAAGAAAAAAAUGGGAAGAGCCAGUCACUUGCUAUGUUAGGAAAUGAGGGUGUAGUGGUCCCCAGCUCCUUCCUUCCUGGAAUGUGGUUCCUAUGACUGAUAAAGCCUGUUUUUACAUUCUGAGUCUGUGGUCUUAUUUUCUACAACAGAUGUGUGCCAACUGGCUUAGUGUAGCAGAUCCACAAAAGUUGAAUCCGUCAUAAAUGGAAUUCUAAUCCAGCAGUGGGAAACAGUGAAAACCAAUCAAACAUACACAGCAGAACCCUCAAGUUUUAGAAACUGGCAGCACCAAGGGCAGGGGUUUUAGCUCAGUGGUUUCGCUGCCUGCUGUGCAAGCGCAAGGACCUGAGUUUGAUCCCCGGUACCAAAAAAAGAAAAAAAGAAACUGGCAGCACCAGGAACGUCUAGAACUUAAAAGGGAGGGAGGGCAUGAGGCAUGCUGGCGGGCAGUACUGAGAAGCAGUUAUACCCUGGACCCCUUCCACAGCUGUCGUCACUGGGUAAUGGGCCGUCACUGGGUAAUGGGCCUUCCCUCACAGGUGGCAGAACACUGGGGUUUCCCCACGCCUGACAGAUCCAAGGCACCAUGAAAGUAUGGGUCUAAGACCACAAACAGAAAAGCUAAAUGAUCACAUGCACAUGGCUUGUCAAGAACUACCCUUCCCACACCAGCCUCUUCACCCACUCAGUGUCCA